rfam:Schistosoma mansoni, Puerto Rico, WGS project CABG01000000 data, contig: 0049
GUACUGCUGAGGAGUCCCAUAAUAGGACGAAACGGCUGUCAAGUAC